GCCUUCGUGGUGCAGUGCUCAGCACGCUUGAGGCGUAUUCGAGAGGUCCGAGGUUCGAGUCCCGGCAAAGGCA
rnacentral:tRNA from 1 species